UCCCGGCACGGGGAGGUAGUGACGAAAAAUAACAAUACGGGACUCUUCAUGAGGCCCCGUAAUUGGAAUGAGCGCAGUCUAAACCCUUGGGCGAGGACCCAUUGGAGGGCAAGUCUGGUGCCAGCAGCCGCGGUAAUUCCAGCUCCAAUAGCGUAUAUUAAAGUUGUUGCAGUUAAAAAGCUCGUAGUUGGAUCUCGGGCGCAGGCGGGCGGUCCGGCUCGCGCCGGUUCGCCGCCCGUUCCCCUGCCCCACCCCUGCCGGUUCCCUCCCGACGGUGCUCUUUAUUGAGCGUCCCGGGCGGCCGGCGCGUUUACUUUGAAAAAAUUAGAGUGUUCAAGGCGGGCCCGCCGAGCCCGAAUAACUGCGCAUGGAAUAAUGGAAUAGGACCUCGGUUCUAUUUUGCUGGUUUUCGGAAUCCGAGGUAAUGAUUGACGGGGACAAACGGGGGCAUUCGUAUUGCGGCGUUAGAGGUGAAAUUCUUGGAUCGCCGCAAGACGGGCUACUGCGAAA
rnacentral:rRNA from 1 species